AUUGAACGCUGGCGGCAGGCCUAACACAUGCACGUCGAGCGAGCGGCGGACGGGUGAGUAAUGUCUGGGAAACUGCCUGAUGGAGGGGGAUAACUACUGGAAACGGUAGCUAAUACCGCAUACCAUCAGAUGUUCCCAGAUGGGAUUAGCUAGUAGGUGUGGUAACGGCUCACCUAGUCGACGAUCCCUAGCUGGUCUGAGAGCAUGACCAGCCACACUGGAACUGUUACACGGUCCAGAAUCCUACGGAAGGUAGCAGGGGUGAAUAUUGCACAAAGGGCGCAAGCCUGAUGCAGCCACGCGGUGUGUGUGAAGAAGGCAUUCGGGUUGUAAAGCACUUUCAGAGGGGAGGCGUUACACGCAGAAGAAGCACCGGCGAACUCCGUGCCAGCAGCCGCGGUAAUUC
rnacentral:rRNA from 1 species